AAAGGACAAAAAUAGAUGAGAGAGAAGAAAGACAAAGAGGGAUGGCUCAUGGAAUCCUCUCUGGAAUGAAGGUGUGUGGCCAGCAAGGGCCUCGGAGAAGGUGCUUGUUUCCCCUUUGCCUUCCGCCAUGAGUGUAAGUUUCCUGAGGUCUCCCAGUCAUACUGCUGGUUAAGCCUGCAGAACGGUGUACUUGUUUGAAAUGUAUCUGGCCCAAUCGCUGAGCGUCCGCGCUGCAUUUCUCCAAACUGCCCAGCAGGGGGCGGUGCUACCUCGGCUCCGCGCAGCCACGGCUUCCCGCUGGCGAACCAAGGGCGCGGAAUCUGGAGAGGGCGAGGAACAUCUUUCCUCCCACCUGUCCCCCGCCAAGCCUGCCAGACCCGUCUCAUCCGUGCUGCUGCUUCUGAAAAUCAGAAGAGUGAGGAUGAAAUAAAGUCUUCAUAAAGGAAAACCA
ensembl:lncRNA LINC01405 long intergenic non-protein coding RNA 1405